UUUACAAUGGAGAGUUUGAUCCUGGCUCAGGAUGAACGCUAGCGGCAGGCCUAAUACAUGCAAGUCGAGGGGCAGCACAGGUAGCAAUACUGGGUGGCGACCGGCAAACGGGUGCGGAACACGUACGCAACCUUCCUCUAAGUGGGGAAUAGCCCGAAGAAAUUCGGAUUAAUACCCCGUAAUAUUGUUGGAUGGCAUCAUCUGACAAUUAAAGAACUUCGCUUGGAGAUGGGCGUGCGUCUGAUUAGGUAGUUGGUGAGGUAACGGCUCACCAAGCCGACGAUCAGUAACUGGCGUGAGAGCGCGACCAGUCACACGGGCACUGAGACACG
rnacentral:rRNA from 1 species